rnacentral:rRNA from 1 species
UAUGGCUCAGAUUGAACGCUGGCGGCAGGCCUAACACAUGCAAGUCGAGCGGUAGAGAGMAGCUUGCUUCUCUUGAGAGCGGCGGACGGGUGAGUAAUGCCUASGAAUCUGCCUGGUAGUGGGGGAUAACGUUCGGAAACGGACGCUAAUACCGCAUACGUCCUACGGGAGAAAGCAGGGGACCUUCGGGCCUUGCGCUAUCAGAUGAGCCUAGGUCGGAUUAGCUAGUUGGUGAGGUAAUGGCUCACCAAGGCGACGAUCCGUAACUGGUCUGAGAGGAUGAUCAGUCACACUGGAACUGAGACACGGUCCAGACUCCUACGGGAGGCAGCAGUGGGGAAUAUUGGACAAUGGGCGAAAGCCUGAUCCAGCCAUGCCGCGUGUGUGAAGAAGGUCUUCGGAUUGUAAAGCACUUUAAGUUGGGAGGAAGGGCAGYAAAUUAAUACUUUGCUGUUUUGACGUUACCGACAGAAUAAGCACCGGCUAACUCUGUGCCAGCAGCCGCGGUAAUACAGAGGGUGCAAGCGUUAAUCGGAAUUACUGGGCGUAAAGCGCGCGUAGGUGGUUCGUUAAGUUGGAUGUGAAAUCCCCGGGCUCAACCUGGGAACUGCAUUCAAAACUGACGAGCUAGAGUAUGGUAGAGGGUGGUGGAAUUUCCUGUGUAGCGGUGAAAUGCGUAGAUAUAGGAAGGAACACCAGUGGCGAAGGCGACCACCUGGACUGAUACUGACAC